UUAAUUUAACACAGAGCGAAGUCGACCUCAGAGCCAAGAUGCUUUUAGUUCUUAUUUAUUAAUUCAAAUUAUAGUUUUCUCUUUUGAAAAGUAUUUAUUUAAUCAGUGUCACCUGUGCAGGUAAAACACACCAAAACAGAGGUCAGGGUGUAAAUGAAUGCAUUGAUGCAUUGACACUGAUUAUUUUUCACAGUUAAACAAUGUAUUUUUUAGAGUUGUUAUUUAUAUUAUUAUCAUUAGUGCUAUAGUUAAAGUGGGUCCAGUAUAGCCUGGCCACUAGUUUAGUAAAAGUUUCUAUAAAUGUUUUAUACAACAUUUUAUUUAAUUGUAACAUUAUCGAUACUAUUAAAAUAGCUAUUUGAUAUAAAUAAUGUAGAGUUAAUAUGUGUGUAUAUUAUUAAUGAUUAUAAUAUAUUAUUUAUGGAUUUUAUUUUACAACACAAACACUUUUGGAAGGUUUUUCAGACAUAAUUAAGUGCUCGGCUCUACGAAGGACAGACAGAACUAGCCUAGCUUGCUAACGUUCAUCCUGCAUUAUACAAUAAGGGGGUCUUGCUAGCCAGCAGUUGGAAAAACAUUUUAAUUUCUUGGAAAAGAUAAAUCUAAAUGUCACUUUUUGGAGGGGAAAUGAGAUUAAAGCAGGACGGGCGAUGUCGGUUCUUCUUCUUAGGUCUAAAGGUUUCAGUCUGCUGCUGCUGAAUUAAAUAUGAUCUCCUCUCGUGUAAUCUGCCACGGAGAGCGUUAAACUUUCAUGUGUUGCGUCUUUAACCACCACAGAGCAAGGCAGCGGGCCUGACGGGUCGCGGGUUCAGAUGUCUGAUACGCUCUCAGAGGCCGAACACCUGAAUGUGAGCAGCAGGAGAAUCUGUUCAAGCUUUCAUGGAGCUGCUUUUCUUUCCAUAAAUCCUUCUCCCUGCCGCUGAAACCAAACCUGCUCCCCUGUGGAUGUUUCUGUUAGCAGAUGAAAUAAAAUGAACAUAUUAAUAAUAAAAAUAAAGGCCGUGUUUGCAGCCGCUCAUCGGUAAAUGAGCCGUGUGCAGCUCCACAGAACAGAAAACCUCUCUGAGCUCUUUAUUUCUGACGUUUGUUGCGGUGACGGCAGUAAAAAUCAGCCAGCUGAGUGAACAGGAGGUUUGUGGAGGACGAGUCCCCGAGGACGCUGGCAGUCUGUAACUCUGUAAGCAGUCUGGAAAAACGCCGUGUGUUGGUUUUCCCAUCAUGCCUCAGUGAAGCGCUCUGUGCUGCGGCCGUUCUGGAUCUUUCUGACAGCCUUGAACCACAAUCUGAAUAAAAACAAGGACUCUGCGUGUCUGCAGGUUUCUGAGACAUGCUGCAAACAACAUCGUGAAUAUUUCUGUCAGAGGCUGCAGCAAACCUGAAACAGGUUCCUCACGGACCAGAGGGUCCUGUGGGUCAACAUCUCCACAGAAAGAUUUAAAAUUCAUUUGAAUCCUCAUCUUCGUCGGUUUGUAUUUGUUGUUAUUUAUUUAUUCUAUUUCCAACAUUUCUAAAGCUGCAAUAUUGAAUUUUUGAAUUUGUUCUUUUGUGAAUUUGUUCUUUUUCUUUGCUGAGAAGGAAAUGAUUGUAAGGCUGUCAGAUCUCACGCUGUCAGUAGAGCUGCAGCUGACCAGUAUGUGCAGCUGCUGCACUGAUCAUAUUUUAUUUAUUAAUACACAUUUUGCAUUCUUAAAUGA